GGGCUGGGGCUCAGUGGGAGAGCACUUGCCUAGCAUGUGGGAGGCACUGGGUUCAAUCCUCAGCACCACA
rnacentral:tRNA from 1 species